rnacentral:rRNA from 1 species
AUUGAACGCUGGCGGCAUGCCUAACACAUGCAAGUCGAACGAGUGGCGGACGGGUGAGUAAUGUGUGGGAAACUGCCUGAUGGAGGGGGUUAACUACUGGAAACGGUAGCUAAUACCGCUUACCUUCCGCUUUUCCCAGAUGGGAUUAGCUUGUUGGUGGGGUAACGGCUCACCAAGGCCACGAUCCCUAGCUGGUCUGAGAGGAUGACCAGCCACACUGGAACUGAGACACGGUCCAGACUCCUACGGGAGGCAGCAGUGGGGAAUAUUGCACAAUGGGCGAAAGCCUGAUGCAGCCAUGCCGCGUGUAUGAAGAAGGCCUUCGGGUUGUAAAGUACUUUCAGCGGGGAGGCGUUACCCGCAGAAGAAGCACCGGCUAACUCCGUGCCAGCAGCCGCGGUAAUAC